GGGCGGGGGCACGGGGGGACUCCUACGGGAGGCAGCAGUCGGGAAUUUUGGGCAAUGGGCGCAAGCCUGACCCAGCAACGCCGCGUGAAGGAUGAAGUCUUUCGGGAUGUAAACUUCGCAAGAAUGGGAAGAAUAAGUGUUUGAUAACACCAAACACGAUGACGGUACUAUUUGUAAGCUCCGGCUAACUUCGUGCCAGCAGCCGCGGUAAUACGAGGGGAGCAAGCGUUGUUCGGAUUUACUGGGCGUAAAGGGCGCGUAGGCGGCGUGACAAGUCACUUGUGAAAUCUCCGGGCUUAACUCGGAGCGGUCAAGUGAUACUGUCGUGCUAGAGUGCAGAAGGGGCAACUGGAAUUCUCGGUGUAGCGGUGAAAUGCGUAGAUAUCGAGAGGAACACCUGAGGCGAAGGCGGGUUGCUGGGCUGACACUGACGCUGAGGCGCGAAAGCUAGGGGAGCGAACGGGAUUAGAUACCCCGGUAGUCCUAGCCUUAAACGAUGAAUGCUUGGUGUCUGGAGUUUUUAAGUCUCCGGGUGCCGUCGCUAACGCUUUUAGCAUUCCGCCUGGGGAGUACGUACGCAAGUAUGAAACUCAAAGGAAUUGACGG
rnacentral:rRNA from 1 species